AUCUCUGAGGACAGGUGUCAAUCCAUAUCUGCCAAGUGACCCUAUGUAGGGGGAACAGUCUCUAUUCUGCUCUCUGUCAGUGUGUAUCAUGGUCUCUGAGGACAGGUGUCAAUCCAUAUCUACCAAGUGACCCUAUGUAGGGGGAACAGUCCCUAUUAUACUCUGUGUCAGUGUUUAUCAGUGAUCCUUAGGAUAGGUAUCAAUCCAUAUCUGCCA
rnacentral:lncRNA from 1 species